CUCUCUUUCAGAAACUCCUCUUCUCUCUUCCAAACUGAGAACUCUGAGAUUUACUAAGAUUUUCGCUGAAAAACUUGAAAUCAAAGCCUUACUUCUUAACCCUAUUUCAAAAGUACACUACUGAAUCAGUGAACAUUAGAGAGGUCAAAGUAGGAAGAACUACAGGCUGAAGAACAUUUUUGAGAGAGAGAAGAGAGAGAAAGGGAAAGAUGCCGGUGAUGGAGAAACUGAAAGUACACUCAUCACUACAGAUUUCUUUGAAAAAUCACCAAUCGACGUCCUGAAAGUUAGGGGUUCUUGUAUUUAAUGUUAGAUUUAACUUUUUUAGUUGAUCGGACGGAUUCAAAUCUGUCGUUUUUCUUCUCAAAUCUGUUUUGGGUUUAAUUGGAAAACUCCAUUUUUAGGGUUCCAAUAUUGAACAGAAGCAUUAGCCCUAACGACUGAUUCUGUUUGAUGGUAAAGCUGGUGGUUCUGCAGCUGUUCGAGUUAUGGGUGGUUGUUUGUGUUUCUCGUGAUAGCUUAAGUGAUAGUAGCUGGACCUGCUCUUGUUGGUUGUGGAUCUAUUUCUACUGGAGGUGAUAGUGGUGCUGAGCUAUCAAAGUGCCAAGCACUCUCAUGAAGCUCCCGUUUAUGGUGCUUUGGAUACCAUGUAUCUAAGUUAAUGUAGUGUAUGGAAGGUAUAUUCUUGAUUCGUUUCACAACUGUUUAUGCCUAUUUUGCAUGCCAUCUGCAUAUCUCCCUUUUUUUAUAUGAUCACUGAUGUAUUAUGAUGAAAGCUACUUGGUCAUACUUAUUUUGACGGUUUCACCUGUCAUUUCUCUCCAGGUCUUUAGGCAAAACAAAAGUUGUUGUUUCAUUUUUUUGUGAUUUUAUCUCAGAGUCCUUCUCACUGUCAAAGACGUAUACUGCUUCUGCAUCCUUGUGGGUGGCUUCUUAUCCUCUUUUUUCUCUUGGUGCGCCAAUAACCUGGAUUCUCCACCUUUUUACACGACGUUGAAUCUCUUGCCUAAAUAGUAUAACCAAGGGGCCUCUCAAGGCCGUAAAGGAACUGUUAUUUAUACCUUAAUGAUAAGUUGUGGAGGGAAGAAUGAAGAGAUACACAAAGAUGAUAUAUUUCUAUUGAAGGGGCAUAAAAAUAAGUGAUUACAACAAUCUUGGUUGUAUUCAAGCAAAGGAUCGCAUGACUGGAAGAACUGAAAUUUCAUCUUGUGUAAGUGUUGCUGAGGUAGCUCAAGUUAGAGUACCAUCUAAAGAGUUUACUUUCUAUGUGGAUGACCUAGAUGUUGGUGCUGAGCUUGAUCUUCUUAUACAUUAUCGUGAUGCUCUAGGAAACCUAUUUCAUGAAGCUUAUGAUGCGGUUCAAAUUGAUGCUGAUACUAAUUAUCCUGGAGAAAGAGCUAAGGCCAAACUCAUGAAGAUAUGUGAUGCAUUCGGAGCAAACCCUCCCCUUGAACAUUAGACCUCCAGAAUCUCAGCAGAAAAAUAUAAGGAUACUAAAAAUAUUCCUCUGCACAAGAAUGGUAAACUCUCCGAAUAAGAUUCAGGUUCAAGUAUCAAGAAAAACGUAAGAGUAAUCCAUCAUUGGCGGAAAACGGCCACGACAAGGAGCGGAUUUAGCAGGUUGAGUCCGCUCCUUGUCGUGGAUUUAGCAGGAGCGGAUUUAGCAGACAUCACACUGAAUGGUCGCAGAGCUGGUGAGGCAGCCAUUUAAUAUGAGCACGGGGCAGAUAUUGAGGACUGAUGCCGAAACUCUGCCAGUCUGACUACUACACGGAGCCUCAAAUUCAAGAACUAGCUGUCAAAGAGAUGGCAGAGCCAGGGUUCUGCCGCAGGGUGGAGGACUUCGUGGUGGAAGGCAUGGGUUCGGUAGCAUCAAGUUUGCAGGAGAGACUGAUGUACGGAACCUUGACCUGGAAUGCCCACUGAGGAAAUCGGAAUGCAAGCCCAGAUGAUGACAGAGGUCGAAAGAAAAGCCAGGCACCCUGCAUUCAAGGAAAAAUGGACACAAACACAGUGUCAAAGGCCGUGGAAGGGAUCAACAAUACAGUACGUAAGGGAUAGCUUUCUCAGCACGCUGAAACAAAUGCAAACGGCCGAGACCCCUCAAAAUGAUAGUUGGGAACAUGAGCUAAUUUUUUUUUCAAGAAACAAAGUAGUAAUAAAGACACAUUCACAAAGCAUGAUGGAUCAGUUAACAUGUACCAAAAAGUGUGAAUGCGAUUAACAGUAACUCUGAGUAAUUACUUGAAACUUCGAUGAAUUUCCUCCCUACGAUUAUGUUUUAU